GGGCGGGCGGGAAGCGGCCGCCCGCCGCCGCCCUGGCCGCGGCGUCCGUUAGGCCGUUCCUCGGUAACGGAGCGGCGGGGGAGAGCCGCCCCGGGCCUCGGUUCCAGGCCGGCCUAGCGGGACCCCCCGCCGGGGUGGCCCCCGGCCCGCUCCCGCCCAGCCUCGUGAGCGUUUACACGGGGUGACGGCGCUCCUCCGUCCAAAAAUCCUCGGGAACCGCUGUCUGGGAGAACAGAGACAAUCCUUGCCCGUGUAAUUCAACCCUAUGUAAAUUAUCCGUUUGCCAGCCUGGUCCAGAGCAGUCCCCACUGCUGCUGUCUCUCAGUUGCUGUCAUUAAAAUCGACCCCUGCAAAUUGUUGCACAGCGGUAUAAUGAUAUUUUUUUUUCUUUUAGAAUAGCAAGAUUAUUCUUACGGCUGUAUGCUUUGAAAGUAAAACAUAUGCCAGAUCAGUUUGCAAAGGAAAGGAGAUGGUCUGCAUGGUGUGUGUUACAGAAAUAGGAAAACUUGAAAAUGUGGGACCAAUUCUGCCAUUUGUUCCAGGCUGCAUACACUGCAGCAAGGCAUACUGAACCUUGUUAGAAGCCUUGGUUUUAGUACUGAAUGCUGAGUUGCAAUACUGAAAUUCAGAGUCUACUUCUUUAAUCAUCUUUUCUGCAAUGUAAUUGAGAAUUUUUUACAUGUAUGAAAAUAAAAAAUACA